GACGAACGCUGGCGGCGUGCUUAACACAUGCAAGUCGAACGAUGAACCCGGAGCUUGCUCCGGUGGAUUAGUGGCGAACGGGUGAGUAACACGUGAGUAACCUGCCCUUGACUCUGGGAUAACUGCGGGAAACUGUAGCUAAUACCGGAUACGACCCUCGGCCGCAUCGCCAGGGGGUGGAAAGAACUUCGGUCAAGGGUGGACUCGCGGCCGAUCAGCUAGUUGGGGAGGUACCGGGUCACCAAGGCGACGACGGGUAGCCGGCCUGAGAGGGUGGCCGGCCACACUGGGACUGAGACACGGCCAGACUCCUACGGGAGGCAGCAGUGGGGAAUAUUGCACAAUGGGCGCAAGCCUGAUGCAGCAACGCCGCGUGAGGGAUGACGGCCUUCGGGUUGUAAACCUCUUUUAGUAGGGAAGAAGCGAAAGUGACGGUACCUGCAGAAAAAGCACCGGCUAACUACGUGCCAGCCGCCGCGGUAA
rnacentral:rRNA from 1 species